UACGUAGGGGGCGAGCGUUGUCCGAAGUUACUGGGCGUAAAGCGCGCGUAGGCGGGCUCUUAGGUGAGGGGUGAAAGGUUUGGGCUCAACCCAAACACUGCCUUUCAUACUGGGAGCCUUGAGUGCGGGAGAGGCGAGUGGAAUGGUCGGUGUAGCGGUGAAAUGCGUAGAUAUCGAUCGGAACACCCAUGGCGAAGGCAGCUCGCUGGCCUGCAACUGACGCUGAGGCGCGAAAGCGUGGGGAGCAAACAGG
rnacentral:rRNA from 1 species